AGUGAACGCUGGCGGUAGGCCUAACACAUGCCAGUCGAACGGCAGCACAGUAAGAGCUUGCUCUUACGGGUAGCGAGUGGCGGACGGGUGAGGAAUACAUCGGAAUCUACUUUUUCGUGGGGGAUAACGUAGGGAAACUUACGCUAAUACCGCAUACGACCUACGGGUGAAAGCAGGGGAUCUUCGGACCUUGCGCGAUUGAAUGAGCCGAUGUCGGAUUAGCUAGUUGGCGGGGUAAAGGCCCACCAAGGCGACGAUCCGUAGCUGGUCUGAGAGGAUGAUCAGUCACACUGGAACUGAGACACGGUCCAGACUCCUACGGGAGGCAGCAGUGGGGAAUAUUGGACAAUGGGCGCAAGCCUGAUCCAGCCAUACCGCGUGGGUGAAGAAGGCCUUCGGGUUGUAAAGCCCUUUUGUUGGGAAAGAAAAGCAGCAGGUUAAUACCCCGCUGUUCUGACGGUACCCAAAGAAUAAGCACCGGCUAACUUCGUG
rnacentral:rRNA from 1 species